UGAUGGUACUGGAGAAGGACUGC
rnacentral:piRNA from 1 species